rnacentral:rRNA from 1 species
GUCGAGCGGGCCCUUCGGGGUCAGCGGCAGACGGGUGAGUAACACGUGGGAACGUACCCUUUGGUUCGGAAUAACGCUGGGAAACUAGCGCUAAUACCGGAUACGCCCUUUUGGGGAAAGGCUUGCUGCCGAAGGAUCGGCCCGCGUCUGAUUAGCUAGUUGGUGGGGUAAUGGCCUACCAAGGCGACGAUCAGUAGCUGGUCUGAGAGGAUGAUCAGCCACACUGGGACUGAGACACGGCCCAGACUCCUACGGGAGGCAGCAGUGGGGAAUAUUGGACAAUGGGCGCAAGCCUGAUCCAGCCAUGCCGCGUGAGUGAUGAAGGCCUUAGGGUUGUAAAGCUCUUUUGUCCGGGACGAUAAUGACGGUACCGGAAGAAUAAGCCCCGGCUAACUUCGUGCCAGCAGCCGCGGUAAUACGAAGGGGGCUAGCGUUGCUCGGAAUCACUGGGCGUAAAGGGCGCGUAGGCGGCCAUUCAAGUCGGGGGUGAAAGCCUGUGGCUCAACACAGAAUUGCCUU